rnacentral:rRNA from 1 species
GGGUAGAGCACUGUUUCGGCUAGGGGGCCAUCCCGGCUUACCAACCCGAUGCAAACUGCGAAUACCGGAGAAUGUUAUCACGGGAGACACACGGCGGGUGCUAACGUCCGUCGUGAAGAGGGAAACAACCCAGACCGCCAGCUAAGGUCCCAAAGUCAUGGUUAAGUGGGAAACGAUGUGGGAAGGCCCAGACAGCCAGGAUGUUGGCUUAGAAGCAGCCAUCAUUUAAAGAAAGCGUAAUAGCUCACUGGUCGAGUCGGCCUGCGCGGAAGAUGUAACGGGGCUAAACCAUGCACCGAAGCUGCGGCAGCGAACGUAUCACUUAAAGCGAUUCAGCGGGUUACGAUUGACGGAGCGAAGCGACGUCAAAGCGUAUACAAAGUCGAGUCGGUUUAAGGAUACGUUCGUUGGGUAGGGGAGCGUUCUGUAAGCCUGUGAAGGUGUGUCGUGAGGCAUGCUGGAGGUAUCAGAAGUGCGAAUGCUGACAUAAGUAACGAUAAAGCGGGUGAAAAGCCCGCUCGCCGGAAGACCAAGGGUUCCUGUCCAACGUUAAUCGGGGCAGGGUGAGUCGACCCCUAAGGCGAGGCCGAAAGGCGUAGUCGAUGGGAAACGGGUUAAUAUUCCCGUACUUGGUGUUACUGCGAAGGGGGGACGGAGAAGGCUAUGUUGGCCGGGCGACGGUUGUCCCGGUUUAAGCGUGUAGGUGUGUGUUCCAGGUAAAUCCGGUU